rfam:Nitrospirae bacterium RIFCSPLOW2_12_42_9 rifcsplowo2_12_sub10_scaffold_6363, whole genome shotgun sequence.
UAAACCUUUAAUUUAGCCCGGUGAGGCUAAGAAGGAAAAUGCAAUGCUUAAUAAAGGCCGAUUAACAGGAACCUUCUCAUCAGAUGAUGAGGAGGUUUUUUUUU